ACGGUGCUGCACAUCCUCUGGGGGCAACAUAUCACACAUACAGGACACAUGGGCUGGUAUGAUAGACACUUUCGGUUCUCACAUCGGCUAUUUCUAAAGGUCAAAGAGGGGGUCAUUCGACUUCUAAUGAGUGUUUCUUUAGGUUCAGAGGACAGAAGAAGGGUCAAACUACCACCAGGGUCAUAAAACUACCCCUGGAAAUGCCCUAAACUCCUACGAAAGCCUUGUCAAAUAUGUGUUUCCUAGGUUCAGAGGACAGAAGAAGGGUCAAACUACCACCAGGGUCAUAAAACUACCCCUGGAAAUGCCCUAAACUCCUACGAAAGCCUUGUCAAAUAUGUGCUUCCUAGGUUCAGAGGACAGAAGAAGGGUCAAACUACCACCAGGGUCAUAAAACUACCCCUGGAAAUGCCCUAAACUCCAAUGAAAGCCUUGUCAGAUAUGUGAGUCCUAGGUUCAGAGGACAGAUGAAGGGUCAAACUACCACCAGGGUCAUAAAACUACCCUUGGAAAUGCCCUAAACUCCUAUGAAAGCCUUGUCAAAUAUGUGACAUGGCAAGUUAGGUGAAUUGGUUAACCUCUCUCCCAGUCUUGCCGUUCAACCUGACAACAGCUGGGCAUUAGGACGCUGGCAGACUGACCUGACCACCCCUGUCUGUUCCCGAGGGCGUCGAGAUUCAAUGAAUAACUCCACAUUCACAUCAACAUGACAACUUCAAUGUGCAUAUCACAGCAUCAAGGGCUUCAGACGAGGAGGUGAUGAGUGUGCUGAGGGAGGGGGUGUGGGCACAUCAAGAGGAGGGAGAGUGUGUUAAGUGUGCUGAGGGAGGGGGUGUGGGCACAUCAAGAGGAGGGAGAGUGUGU